rnacentral:rRNA from 1 species
UACGAAGGGGGCGAGCGUUGUUCGGAAUUACUGGGCGUAAAGGGCGCGCAGGCGGCUCAGACAGUCAGAUGUGAAAGCCCCGGGCUUAACCUGGGAACUGCAUUUGAUACUACUGAGCUUGAGUACGGGAGAGGAUAGUGGAAUUCCCCAGUGUAGAGGUGAAAUUCGUAGAUAUUGGGAAGAACACCGGUGGCGAAGGCGGCUAUCUGGACCGUAACUGACGCUGAGGCGCGAAAGCGUGGGGAGCAAACAGG